GUCGACGCUGAAGCCUGGUGCUUGCACCGGGUGGAUGAGUGGCGAACGGGUGAGUAACACGUGAGUAACCUGCCCCUGACUUCGGGAUAAGCCCGGGAAACUGGGUCUAAUACCGGAUACGACUGCCGGACGCAUGUCUGGUGGUGGAAAGUUUUUUCGGUUGGGGAUGGGCUCGCGGCCUAUCAGUUUGUUGGUGAGGUAAUGGCUCACCAAGACGACGACGGGUAGCCGGCCUGAGAGGGCGACCGGCCACACUGGGACUGAGACACGGCCCAGACUCCUACGGGAGGCAGCAGUGGGGAAUAUUGCACAAUGGGGGAAACCCUGAUGCAGCGACGCAGCGUGCGGGAUGACGGCCUUCGGGUUGUAAACCGCUUUCAGCAGGGAAGAAGCGCAAGUGACGGUACCUGCAGAAGAAGUACCGGCUAACUACGUGCCAGCAGCCGCGGUAAUACGUAGGGUACGAGCGUUGUCCGGAAUUAUUGGGCGUAAAGAGCUCGUAGGUGGUUGGUCACGUCUGCUGUGGAAACGCAACGCUUAACGUUGCGCGUGCAGUGGGUACGGGCUGACUAGAGUGCAGUAGGGGAGUCUGGAAUUCCUGGUGUAGCGGUGAAAUGCGCAGAUAUCAGGAGGAACACCGGUGGCGAAGGCGGGACUCUGGGCUGUAACUGACACUGAGGAGCGAAAGCAUGGGGAGCGAACAGGAUUAGAUACCCUGGUAGUCCAUGCCGUAAACGUUGGGCACUAGGUGUGGGGGGGCAUUCCACGUUCUCCGCGCCGUAGCUAACGCAUUAAGUGCCCCGCCUGGGGGAGUACGGUCGCAAGGCUAAAACUCAAAGGAAUUGACGGGGGCCCGCACAAGCGGCGGAGCAUGCGGAUUAAUUCGAUGCAACGCGAAGAACCUUACCAAGGCUUGACAUACACCGGACCGUCCUGGAAACAGGUCCUCUUCUUUGAAGCUGGUGUACAGGUGGUUGCAUGGUUGUCGUCAGCUCGUGUCGUGAGAUGUUUGGGUUAAGUCCCGCAACGAGCGCAACCCUCGUUCUAUGUUGCCAGCAUGGUGAUGGUGGGAACUCAUAG
rnacentral:rRNA from 1 species